UACGUAGGGGGCUAGCGUUGUCCGGAAUCAUUGGGCGUAAAGAGCGCGUAGGCGGCCAGGCAAGUCCGGUGUGAAAGUCACAGGCUCAACCUGUGAAUGCCGCUGGAAACUGUCUGGCUAGAGUCCGGAAGGGGCGAGUGGAAUUCCUGGUGUAGCGGUGAAAUGCGCAGAUAUCAGGAGGAACACCUAUGGCGAAGGCAGCUCGCUGGGACGGUACUGACGCUGAGGCGCGAAAGCGUGGGGAGCGAACAGG
rnacentral:rRNA from 1 species